UUUACUAAAAAUAUGCAGUAACUAAAUAGCGAAAAGUAAAACAACGAUAAGAAUUACAAAACUCACUUAUCCCCGCCCAAACCGGUUUUUCCACAAUAAUAGGAGACUUUGCCUCUAUUUCUUAUAUAAUUAUAUAUAAAUUUUCCAUUUUUAAAAAAAUAGUUUAACAAUCGGUUAUUUUUAACUGUUUAAUAUAAAUUGUUCCAAUUAUAAUUUUGUUUUUUCCCAUAUAAAUAAUAAUUAAAACUGUAUAUAUUUGCAAACCUAAUUUUUAUAAUAACGGAACAGUUAUAGUAGUUAAAUUGAUUUUUGAACAACUAUUUAUAACCAGCUUUACUUUAAUUCCAAAUAAAUUUAAACAACGAACCCAUAUGUAAAGUCUGGGAUGUUGGGGUAAAAAUGGGGUAUUUUAUUUGCUAAUAAACGUAUAUAAGUUUUGAAACAGGGUUAUUUUGCUUAUUUCUGCUUUAAAUUACUUGACUUUUAAUAUUUCUUUUAUAUUUGAAUUAAUCCGAGAUCUUGGGCUGUAAUUUACCCGAUCCCAGGAUUUUUUAAAAAUUAGAGAAUAAAAUAUAUAUUAUUAUCGCUGCGAUAAUACCAAAAUAAUUUCUUGUAAUUUUAAUUUUUAAAUUUUCCAAUAUUUGAAAUUUUGAAAUUCCCCGGAUUUGCAUCUCCGUUUUUUAUUGGGUUUGCGUUUGGUUAAACUUCUUCCGGAAUUAUUAUUAUUUUCUUGCUUUUAUUUUUAUUUUUCCCUUGAAAAAGAAUAAUUUGGGCAAGUUGUAAUUUUCUCCUCCGCUUUUAUCUCUUAGGCUUUUGGGCUGUUUUGCUGGAAAAUUAUUCCAAUAAAUUAUUUUUAACGCCUCGUCUUUUACUUUUAUUAUUUCUUAUAAAAAUUAUAUAUUUAAAUCACCGUUUUACUUCGGAUAAAUAAUAUAAUUUUAUAAUAAAUAUUAAAUUACUUAAUUAAGUUUAGUGCUAAUUUAUAAAAGAAUUGCUAAAGCAAUUCCCUUUUAUUUCCCUAUCGAUAUGGGACUUUAAAUUUAUUUAAUAAAAACAAAUGUUAAAAAAUAAAUAUAAAAAUUAAAGAAAUUAUUAUAUAAAAUAUUCGAUUCGUGCCAAUUUUACCGUAAUACCUUUUUUUAAUAAACGUAUUUAUUCGUUUACUAAAUCUGUCCCAUUAACUUUCGGUAACGGUACAUUUAAAUUUUUAAAAACCCAAAAUACAAAUAUUAUAACGGUUUCGAAACGCAAUUAAUAAAAUUAGAAACUAAUAAAAGAUUUUGCGGUUUUUAAUAUACUGUUGUUUAAAUAUUAUAUUAAAUAUUAUUUAACCGAAUUAUUUUGUUAUUUCCAUAAUAAAUCAAAUUCCAAAAUAAGAAUAUGAGACUUUUAAUUUCUCUUUUUCUUUCCAGGAAAUUGGCGUCUUUUAAAUAAAAAUCGGAAUUAUAUUAAAAUCUUUUAAAUUCCCGUCGGAAAUCCGAUUUUGUUUUGAUAAAUUGUUUCUAACGUUCCGAUUGGCGUAACGUUUACUAAUAUUAAAACUAAUUAUAAGUUUAAUCAAUUUUAACAAUUCGCCGGGAUAAUUGUCGAUUGUCGUAUAAAUAAUAUAAUAAUAAAAAUCAGUAUUAUUACAGCCCGGGGGGGAUAGGAAUAUGCUAAAAAUACAUUAACUACCAAAUUACAAAAUAUUAUAAUAAUAUAUAAUAAUCCACGAUAAUAUUAUAGCGAUAGCAUUUGAAUUAACAGUUAAUUUUUAAAGACUCGAAAUUAAUGUGCAACUUUUGGAAUUUAGGAAUUCUAAUCUUUAAACGGCGUUCCUAUUAUAUUUACGUAACGCAAAUUUACAGGUUUAGCAAUAUUUAAUUUUUAAAAUUAAACGUUAAUAUUAAAGGGAUUUUCAAAUUUGCACGUAAUAAUUCGGGCUGUUUAUAAUUUGUACCAUUUUGUCAAUUAUUUUUGUACUUUAUAUUUAAUUACCUUAAAAAGUUAAAUUACUAAUACUUAAUAAUAUAAUAUUAAAUAUUAAUAAAAUUGGUAUAAAAUGCUCCGCCUUAUAAUUUUAUUUACUUUCAAUUUCUGUUUGCAAUAUUAUUACUAAUAUAAUAAUAUUUUUUUUGCAUUUUAAUUUAACAAUCUGGUACGUGCUCUAAACAUAUUUAUUAUAACCUUCGAUUUUGUUAUUAUAUUUUGGCGGAUAAUAUAGCAAAUAUAUUAAUAAUAUAAAAUAUCCUGGGAUAUUUGCAUUUAGCAAAUACCUGCUUAAUUCCAAUUAUUAGGUUUCAUUACAAGUUUGUAAUAUUAAUUUACCAAUAUAUAUAUUUUGAUUUUUUACUAAUAUUUAAUUGUAUAUAAUAUUAAAACAUCGUACUAUUAAUUUGAAAUUUCAAAUUGUAAUAAAUAAUAUAAGAGGGCUUAAAAUAUAUUAUAAGAAUAUUACGUUAAGUCCUUUAAAAUAAGUAAAAUAAUUCUAUAUAUAAAUAUAUUUUGUUAAUUUUAAAUAAUUUUGCUAUAACUACAUUUAUUUGUUAUUAAUUAUAAUAUUAUAUCGGAUUAUAAUUAAUUACUUUCGAAAACUAUCCAGGAUUAAAGUAUAUCCGGCCCCGCUUCCGCGAAUUCGCCUAAUUUCAAUAUUAUUUUGUAAAAAGAUUUCGGUUUAUAUUAUUACAGUUCUUUUUUAUGUUUGUUAUACCGAUUACCGCAAUUACUAAUGUAAAUAAUUAUAUUAUAUUCAAAUGGUGGCUGAGUUUAUUCUGCCAUUUUCGCCUGUUUUAUAUUAACCCUGAAAUAAUUAUUUGAAAACUGCCUUUCCGCGUUAAAUAAUGCGUUUGGCGUUCGCCCAAACCCGGUUUUUAAUACUUUGCGAUCACCUUUUAUAAAAACCUCAAUUUUGUCCAAUUUGCUAGUUUUCGAGCUUAGCCUAAACCCCGGUCAUAUACAGGACCAAGCACUUUAUAUAUUUUCAUAACUAUAUAGCUUCUCGACCAAUUAAAUCGGUUGAAGAAAUUACGCUCUUUUUAAUUUAUCGACAUCUUGUCGAUUUUUGCCGUUAACGGACAAAAAGUUAUAUAUUAAAGGAAUUGUAUAUUAUAUAUACCCGAAUUGAAAUAUAUAUAAAAGAUGGAAUAAAAGUUGUAAAGAUACAGAGUUUAUACAAUUAUAU
rnacentral:sRNA from 1 species